rnacentral:rRNA from 1 species
UACGGAGGGUGCGAGCGUUGUCCGGAAUCACUGGGCGUAAAGGGCGCGUAGGCGGCGCGGGGAGUUAACGGUGAAAGCUCGGCGCUCAACGCCGAGUCGGCCGUCGAUACUCCCGUGCUCGAGCACUGUAGAGGCAGGUGGAAUUCCGGGUGUAGCGGUGGAAUGCGUAGAGAUCCGGAAGAACACCGGUGGCGAAGGCGGCCUGCUGGGCUAUGGCUGACACUGAGGCGCGACAGCGUGGGGAGCAAACAGG